rnacentral:sRNA from 1 species
AUGAUUAACCAAUGCGUAGUAGAAAAUGGCAGGCUACAAUUUGUCCCUGGCCUCCAAGGUCACUAAACAAAAAUUAAGCAUUCAUCCAUGAGCAUGGAAACCCUGUGUAUGCUGGAGUGCGUUUUACUAGGGUGGGCUCCAUUACCUUUACUGUGCAUAGCACUGACUGAUCUCACUGUGUGUCAGGCACUGUCCAGCAUCCAGGCAGACACAUGUUUUUCACACUCUGUCUUUAAGUCCUGUGAGGCGAGGUUUGCCUUCCUCAUUUUGCUCCUGAAGAAACGAAGGCCCGAGGAGACAGGAAUAUGGCCAAGAUGACACACAUCUGGUAAGAGGGGAGACAGGUCUUGCCUGAGUCCCUGCUUCCUGAUCCGCCAUGAUGUAAGAAGCACCAACUGCACGUGUCUGCCACCAUGGACAGAGCCAUGACUCCAUGAUGCCAAGCCUUCCAGGAUGGACUGUGUCCCUAAAACUCUAAAUGAAGGCCCCGUUCCUCUCUGCUCCUGUCUUCUGCAAAGCUGAAGAAGUUUCAAAUGAAGGGCUUUCUUCAGAAGCCAGAAGGUCGGCAGAUCCACACAACUGAAUAGACACCACAUCUGAGAGAGAAAGCAUGGAGGGAAGUUCUCAAUCUGCA